rnacentral:rRNA from 1 species
UCGAGAAUUUUUCUCAAUGGGGGAAACCCUGAAGGAGCGACGCCGCGUGGAGGAUGAAGGUCUUCGGGUUGUAAACUCCUGUCAUUUGGGAACAAGGCGGACGUAUUAACUGUACGUGCGUUGAUAGUACCAGAAGAGGAAGAGACGGCUAACUCUGUGCCAGCAGCCGCGGUAAUACAGAGGUCUCAAGCGUUGUUCGGAUUCAUUGGGCGUAAAGGGUGCGUAGGUGGCGCCGUUAGUCGGGUGUGAAAUUUCGGAGCUUAACUCCGAAACUGCAUUCGAUACUGCGGUGCUUGAGGACUGGAGAGGAGACUGGAAUUUACGGUGUAGCAGUGAAAUGCGUAGAGAUCGUAAGGAAGACCAGUGGCGAAGGCGGGUCUCUGGACAGUUCCUGACACUGAGGCACGAAGGCCAGGGGAGCAAACGG